rnacentral:rRNA from 1 species
GAUGAACGCUGGCGGCGUGCCUAAUACAUGCAAGUCGAGCGAACAGAUGAGGAGCUUGCUCCUCUGACGCUAGCGGCGGACGGGUGAGUAACACGUGGAUAACCUACCUAUAAGACUGGGAUCACUUCGGGAAACCGGAGCUAAUAUCGGAUAUAUAUUGAACCGCGUGGUUCAAUAGUGAAAGACGGUUUUGCUGUCACCUAUGGAUGGAUCCGCGCCGCAUUAGCUAGUUGGUAAGGUAACGGCUUACCAAGGCAACGAUGCGUAGCCGACCUGAGAGGAUGAUCAGCCACACUGGGACUGAGACACGGUCCAGACUCCUACGGGAGGCAGCAGUAGGGAAUCUUCCGCAAUGGGCGAAAGCCUGACGGAGCAACGCCGCGUGAGUGAUGAAGGUCUUCGGAUCGUAAAACUCUGUUAUUAGGGAAGAACAAAUGUGUAAGAAACUAUGCACGUCUUGACGGUACCUAAUCAGAAAGCCACGGCUAACUACGUG